GAGCCUUAACCGCUGGGAAUGCCGCUGCCGCCACCGAGCUCCACUGGCGAUCGCCGCUGCUGCUUGGGGCUGACUGCCGGGCUGCUGCCGAGCCGGUUCGGAGACCGUCGCUGUUUCGGUUCAGCCGUUCCUUUGGUUCGAGUCGUUGUGGUUGCUGAGAAAACAGUUUGGAGCUGAGGUUUUGGU